UACGUAGGGUGCGAGCGUUGUCCGGAAUUAUUGGGCGUAAAGAGCUCGUAGGCGGUCUGUCGCGUCGGUCGUGAAAACCUGCAGCUUAACUGUGGGCGUGCGGUCGAUACGGGCAUGACUGGAGUUCGGCAGGGGAGACUGGAAUUCCUGGUGUAGCGGUGGAAAUGCGCAGAUAUCAGGAGGAACACCGGUGGCGAAGGCGGGUCUCUGGGCCGAUACUGACGCUGAGGAGCGAAAGC
rnacentral:rRNA from 1 species